rnacentral:rRNA from 1 species
GACGAACGCUGGCGGCGUGCCUAAUACAUGCAAGUAGAACGCUGAAGGAGGAGCUUGCUUCUCCGGAUGAGUUGCGAACGGGUGAGUAACGCGUAGGUAACCUGCCUGGUAGCGGGGGAUAACUAUUGGAAACGAUAGCUAAUACCGCAUAAGAGUAGAUGUCGCAUGACAUUUGCUUAAAAGGUGCAACUGCACCACUACCAGAUGGACCUGCGUUGUAUUAGCUAGUUGGUGAGGUAACGGCUCACCAAGGCAACGAUACAUAGCCGACCUGAGAGGGUGAUCGGCCACACUGGGACUGGGACACGGCCCAGACUCCUACGGGGGGCAGCAGUAGGGAAUCUUCGGCAAUGGACGGAAGUCUGACCGAGCAACGCCGCGUGAGUGAAGAAGGUUUUCGGAUCGUAAAGCUCUGUUGUAAGGGGAGAACGAGUGUGAGAGUGGAAAGUUCACGCUGUGACGGUAUCUUACCAGAAAGAGACGGCUAACUACGUG